rnacentral:rRNA from 1 species
UACAGAGGUCCCAAGCGUUGUUCGGAUUUAUUGGGCGUAAAGGGUGCGUAGGCGGUUGGGCAAGUUUGAUGUGAAAUCUCUGAGCUCAACUCAGAAACUGCAUUGAAUACUAUCCGGCUAGAGAAUCGGAGGGGGGACUGGAAUACUUGGUGUAGCAGUGAAAUGCGUAGAUAUCAGGUGGAACACCAGUGGCGAAGGCGAGUCCCUGGACGAUUUCUGACGCUGAGGCACGAAAGCUAGGGGAGCGAACAGG